rnacentral:tRNA from 1 species
UCCCUGGUGGUUCAGACGGUAAAGCAUCUGCCUGGAAUGCGGGAGACCUGGGUUCGAUUCCUGAGUCAGGAAA